GCCCUUUGUAGCCAACCCUACCCUUCAUCCUCAGUCCCUGGCAACCACUCAUCCAUUGUCUGUUUCUAUGGCUUUACCUUUCUUCUUCUAUGACAUCUUGAAUGCUGAAGUUCAAUAUCAUUCUAGUUGUGAGGGUCCUUGUUAGUAUUACACAAGAUGUGUGAUAACCUAUAAACUAUUUUUAAAAGGAUUAGGCAAAAAUAAGUAAGUGCAAGAGAACUGGAAAAGAAAAGACAGGAUAUAGGGAAGGGAAAAAGAAAGACCAAAAGAAGGGUGUAUAGUUGUGAUAGAAGGUGCUUUGAUGUUGCUGUCCACGCUGUUUGAAAACCUUGUCUGUCAGAGCGGUGAGCAGACCCAUGGCGCUGAUUGGAAACUUUGGAGAUUUGAAGUGGCGUCCACAUCUGCUUUGCAUAUACUCUAUUCCUCCUGUUUAGAAUGGCUUCCUUCUCAGCCCUUGUGCACCUGGAGAAUUGCUAAGUCAUCUUCUGUGAAUCCACCCAAAUGUUGCCUCUUGAACAUGUUCCUGUGGUUCAACUAUUAUGCUUUCUAACGUGAACUGGGCCAUAGAACACUGUAUAGUCUGGAAUACGGUUAUAUUUUCUAGUUAUAUCACAGUUCAUUGAUGUGUCUUACCAGAGGAACAGUAAUAAAUGACCUUGGGCAAGGGACCCA
rnacentral:lncRNA from 1 species